GGCAGCAGUGGGGAAUUUUGGACAAUGGGCGCAGCCUGAUCCAGCCAUGCCGCGUGCAGGAAGAAGGCCUUCGGGUUGUAAACUGCUUUUGUACGGAACGAAAAGGCUCUGGUUAAUACCUGGGGCAUAUGACGGGUACCGUCAAGAAUAAGCACCGGGCUAACUACGUGCCAGCAGCCCGCGGUAAUACGUAGGGUGCAAGCGUUAAUCGGAAUUACUGGGCGUAAAAGCGUGCGCAGGCGGUUUUGUAAGACAGGCGUGAAAUCCCCGGGCUCAACCUGGGAAUUGCGCUUGUGACUGCAAGGCUGGAGUGCGGCAGAGGGGGAUGGAAUUCCGCGUGUAGCAGUGAAAUGCGUAGAUAUGCGGAGGAACACCGAUGGCGAAGGCAAUCCCCUGGGCCUGCACUGACGCUCAUGCACGAAAGCGUGGGGAGCAAACAGGAUUAGAUAC
rnacentral:rRNA from 1 species